CGUAUGGGGCUCUGGAUACGUCACCCCCUGUAUUAUUGUGAUUGGUCGUGGUGUUAUCCAAUUGCGUGCAGUGAGAUUUUUAAAUGCACGCUUGGUGCCGCCCCUCAAGUUCGGGCCAUUUUCAUUACUCAGUGCCAGACCCUUAAUCUUUUGGAUUUGGGUCUGGAUUUUCAGGCUACUUUGAGGUCACUU